AAUUUUGGACAAUGGGGGAAACCCUGAUCCAGCCAUCCCGCGUGUAUGAUGAAGGCCUUCGGGUCNUAAAGUUCUGUCCUAGGGGANGAUAAUGACGGUACCUAAGGAGGAAGCCACGGCUAACUACGUGCCAGCAGCCGCGGUAAUACGUAGGUGGCGAGCGUUGUCCGGAAUUACUGGGCGUAAAGGGUGCGUAGGCGGAAUCUUAAGUCAGAUGUGAAAUCCCUGGGCUUAACCUGGGAAUGGCAUUUGAAACUGGGGUUCUAGAGUGCAGGAGAGGAAAGCGGAAUUCCUAGUGUAGCGGUGAAAUGCGUAGAUAUUAGGAAGAACACCAGUGGCGAAGGCGGCUUUCUGGACUGUAACUGACGCUGAGGCACGAAAGCGUGGGGAGCAAACAGG
rnacentral:rRNA from 1 species